CCUACGGGAGGCCGCAGUGAGGAAUAUUGGUCAAUGGCCGGAAGGCUGAACCAGCCAAGCAGCGUGAGGGACGACUGUCCCAUGCGUUGUAAACUUCUUUUAUCCGGGGACAAAGUCAUGUUCGAGAGCCUGUCCGCAGGUACUUCAAGAAUAAGCAUCGGCUAACUCCGUGCCAGCAGCCGCGGUAAUACGGAGGAUGCGGACGUUAUCCGGAUUUAUUGGGUUUAAGGGGUGCGUAGGCGGGCUGUUAAGUCUGCGGGAAAAUUCCUGGGCCCAACCCCGGCGAGCGGCGGAAACUGGGGGUCUUGAGAGGUCGAGAGGCAGGCGGAAUGCGUAGUGUAGCGGUGAAAUGCUUAGAUAUCGCGAAGAACCCCGAUUGCGAAGGCAGCAUACCGGCGCCUAACUGACGCUGAGGCACGAAAGCGCGGGUAUCGAACAGGAUUAGAUACCCUUGUAGUC
rnacentral:rRNA from 1 species